ACGGUGCGUAAACACGUAUGCAACCUACCUUUAACCGGGGACACAACCCACCGAAAGGUGAGCUAAUAUCCCAUAACACUGCGAAGUGGCAUCACUUUGCAGUUAAAACUCCGGUGGUUAUUGAUGGGCAUGCGCGACAUUAGCUAGUUGGUGAGGUAACGGCCCACCAAGGCUACGAUGUCUAGGGGUUCUGAGAGGAUUAUCCCCCACACUGGUACUGAGACACGGACCAGACUCCUACGGGAGGCAGCAGUAAGGAAUAUUGGUCAAUGGGCGCAAGCCUGAACCAGCCAUGCCGCGUGAAGGAUGACGGCCCUAUGGGUUGUAAACUUCUUUUGUACGGGAAAAAACCACCGGUCGUGUAUCGGUGCUGAUGGUACCGUAAGAAUAAGCAUCGGCUAACUCCGUG
rnacentral:rRNA from 1 species